ACGGGAGGCAGCAGUGGGGAAUAUUGCACAAUGGGGGAAACCCUGAUGCAGCGACGCCGCGUGAGUGAAGAAGUAUUUCGGUAUGUAAAGCUCUAUCAGCAGGGAAGAAAAUGACGGUACCUGACUAAGAAGCCACGGCUAACUACGUGCCAGCAGCCGCGGUAAUACGUAGGUGGCAAGCGUUAUCCGGAUUUAUUGGGUGUAAAGGGUGUGUAGGCGGGACUGCAAGUCAGAAGUGAAAAUCAUGGGCUCAACCCAUGACCUGCUUUUGAAACUGUGGUUCUUGAGAGUGGGAGAGGUAAACGGAAUUCCUGGUGUAGCGGUGAAAUGCGUAGAUAUCAGGAGGAACACCGGUGGCGAAGGCGGUUUACUGGACCAUUACUGACGCUGAGACACGAAAGCGUGGGGAGCAAACAGGAUUAGAUACCCUGGUA
rnacentral:rRNA from 1 species